UACGUAGGGAGCGAGCGUUAUCCGGAAUUAUUGGGCGUAAAGGGUGCGUAGAUGGUUGAUAUAAGUCUUUUGUAAAAAUGCUAGGCUCAACCUAGUAGGGCAAAAGAUACUGAUGAACUAGAGUACGGCAGAGGCAAGUGGAACUACAUGUGUAGCGGUGGAAUGCGUAGAUAUAUGGAAGAACACCAGUGGCGAAGGCGGCCUGCUGGACAAUAACUGACGCUGAGGCGCGAAAGCGUGGGGAGCAAACAGG
rnacentral:rRNA from 1 species